rnacentral:rRNA from 1 species
AGCUCCAAUAGCGUAUAUUAAAGUUGUUGCAGUUAAAAAGCUCGUAGUUGGAUUUGUGGCGUACAGGAUGUUCCCUUCACUUGUUGUUGGUGAAAUGUUCUGUUGCCAUGUUUGGGUGGAAUCUGUGUGGCAUUAGGUUGUCGCGCAAGGGAUGCCCAUCUUUUACUGUGAAAAAAUUAGAGUGUUCAAAGCAGGCUUAUGCCGUUGAAUAGAUUAGCAUGGAAUAAUGAGAUAGGACUUUGGUACUAUUUUGUUGGUUUGUGCACCGGAGUAAUGAUUAAUAGGGAUAGUUGGGGGUAUUCGUAUUCCAUUGUCAGAGGUGAAAUUCUUGGAUUUUUGGAAGACGAACUACUGCGAAAGCAUUUACCAAGGAUGUUUUCAUUAAUCAAGAACGAAAGUA